rnacentral:lncRNA from 1 species
AGGCGAUGCUCACCGACCGGACGAAGCUCACCAGGAAGCUCCGCGGCAGGGCGACGCCGAGGAGGGCGGUGGCGAGCGACACCACGAUGACGGUCUGCAGCAGCCAGUGGUACUGCCCCUCCAUGCCCAUGUGGUCGGCGGAGUGGAGGUGGAACAUGAGCAGCUGCUGCCCGAAUGCGGCGGCGGCGAGGAGCAUGGUCAUCUCGUCGCGGAGCCUCGGCUUGAUGCGGUCAAAGACGAUGGCGAAGGAGGCGUAGAUGAGGAGGGCGAGGGAGAUGGAGGCGUGCUCGAAGUUGUGCAGGUGGUUGGAGGGGAUGGUGCCGUCGUCGUCGAAGGGGUUGUGCUUCUCCGGGCCGAUGACCAGCUCCAUGGAGAUGGAAGCCAGGCUGCCAAAGAUGAU